rnacentral:lncRNA from 1 species
AUUUCAAAGGUUGAAUCUUUUCUUCCUGAAACAUAAAUGUCAGUUUAGCCAAAAUGGUCUCUGAGAUUGACAUAACUCCUUAAUUUGUCCUUGAGGUUUGAAAUCGAUAGAACUGGUCCUUGAUGUUUGAAAUCGAUAGAACUGGUCCCUGAGUUUGUCCAUUAUCCAUCAUUUUCAUCCUUCUAUGCAAAAUAUCUGUUAAAUAAGAAUUGUUAGGGCCCAAAGAUGUCACAUGUAAACCCAAUCAAGUAGGCCCGAUUGUCGUAAAACCCCGAGUCAAGUCUAAACACAUGUCAAGGUAUGAAAUCGAGAAGGGAAAACAUUCACAAUCAUGCCAUGCCAUUAAUAUAUGAUAAACGAACCAGACAUUUAUAUAAUCACGCAACGCCAUGCAAAUCCCUACACAUUCAUCAUGCCAUGUUAUAUUUCGCUAAUUACCAUUCACGCUAAAAUAUGCCCAAUCCAUAUGUCUGGGGCUUGCCAAGUGAAUCAUGGUGUGGAUGUUUACGGAAGUUUGUCGGGCAUACACAAAGUCAAGAUUAUGGAAGACUUUGGGCUGCUUAGGAGCCCAAAGAUCCAAACCCACAAUCCCACAAUCCUUGAAGUCUACGUAAGUGAGUUUGAGAGAGAACAAACCUAAUUCCCUUUUUUCCCUAGCUAGACAACUAAGCCAGUUAGAAAAGAGUCAGACUCAAGGCCUUAAAAAUCAUGUGAAAGCCCAAUAGAGCCUGCAUUUAAUGAAAAGAGAGGCAGAUUUUCCCUUCCUAGUUCACGUAGAAGAACAAUGAAAGAAAGUCAUGAAACGUGUUACUAGAAUUAAUGCACGUGGAAGUUGACCUAGGAAAUAAGCGCUCUGGAAAGAGAGCCCGAUGUAGUCUUCACAAAAGCAUUGGUGUUCAUCUGUCUUAAACCAAAUGGGAAGGUCAGAGUUAUGCUGGGAGAAAUGGGAGGGAAGACUUAGUUAUAACUAGAGCUUUUCUAGGAAGCCUCAAAAGGGAACCAUUCACCUACAAAAGAGAGGUCAGAGGUUUUGAAUAGAGGAAGACAUAAUAUUAGAGAGAGGGAGAUUCAAGGUUAUACUGCACCAAGCAAGGGAAAUAGCUCUCUAAGUGCAAAUAGUCUUGAACAUCUAAGAGGAUCACCUUCAUGCAACCUUAGUAGUUUCUUUAAGCUUCCUUCAAUGGGAGCCUUCUUAGAACCCUAGGAAACCCAAAUCACCCAACUAAACACAUCAUGCAAUCAUGCAAAGUUCUUUCGCAUGCUAAAUUGGUAAACUUCUAGAUUCACCUCACUCAUGCAAGUUAUUAUUUGCCUAAUCAUGUUAUCUUUGAGUCAUUAAUCCAACCGGGAUAUUUCCUAAGACAUGCUAAUUCUUUCGAAAUAUUUUGGGAAUUGGUACCAAAACGAACCAGGGGAAUAAAAAGGGUACUUUCAAGCCCAAGUCUAGCUCGGCUUAAAAAUCCCUUAACAAUGACAAAAGAUAAAAAUACCCUCAAUUUAAUAAACAAUGUGCCAAAGUAAUUUGACAAAAAUCGAGAGUAUUUUUGUCAUUUAUAGCUUAUUAAUGAAGGUCAUUUCCGAAAUGACCAAAAUGAUUGACGGUGGACAAACUCAGAGACCAAUUCUAUCGAUUUUAAAUAUCAUGGACCAAAGUGAGGAGUUAGACCAAUCUCAAUGAUUAUUUUUGGCUAAAAAGCCAUGUACUGCAGCCCAGUAAAUGCAUGUUCAAGUUGGGAAGCAUCGAACGAAAUCAAUCGUGUUUAAUUGCAAGAAAUUGGUGGUUCAAAAUUCAAUCUUUUAAGAGGUUUUAAGAUAUUUUUACAUGUCUUCAUGAAUUUACAAUUUUUUUCUUUUAUCUGAUAAAUUGUUAUGUCAUGGUUUGUGCAGUGUAGUUUAUGACUUGGGUUAUGAAACACCAAUAAUGUUACAAAAAUUACACCUUAAGAGACCAAUAAUCCAACUUAGAUAUAAAAUUUAAAACCAAUAAUAUAAUUAGUCUCCCAACUUAAUUAUAUAUACAAAAUGUAUCAUUGAAAUCCAAAACGAAAAAGAAAUGAAACAAAGUUUAAUCAGGGAACAUGACAAUGUGUUGUGUCCCCUCAUUGUGUAUUUUUAAUCAGAUCCCUAAGCUGUUGAAGAAGUUGAUCGGUUGAGCAAUGUUCUUCUUUUGCUUAAAACAGUACAAAUACACUCCAAAUCGAAAAAUAGUGUACUUGUGGUGCCAAAAAAGCAUAUGAUCUUUUGAGAACUCGUUCUUAAUAUCUUAGCAGCGUAUUAUUGGUGUUUAUUUGUUUAAGUUCAAUAGCGUGUCAAAUGCAUGUUCAUUUUGUCCCAUGAAUGCAGGCAAGGGACAUCAGGAACAUUACUUGCAUUACAAGUUCCGCUACUUAGGUUGGUGCAAAAGGCACGGAUCUCCUUCCCAGCAAUUGCCGAUGUGAUUUUAAUCUGGUGCAAAUUAAUGUUAGCACAACCUAGAUUCUCCGAGCAAUCAAACUUGAUCGCUUCUUCGGUUGCAGAAGUUCCAUGAAAACCAUUGUAUGUCACAUCGCUCAUUCACUGUCGAAGUCAGCAAAUUUUUUCAAAAAUGAUGACUUCGUUAAUACAACUAAUUUGUUUGAGUUAAAAAUCAUUUUAUUGAAAUUAGCAUAAGAGCAAUCUACUAACCUUAUUCCAUGACCUAGUCCACAACUAAUUUUGGUGAUAUUGAUAGAGGUUAAUUUGGUCCACAACUUUUAUUUAAAUGUGUAACUUAAAUGUGCACUUUUGAUGUGCACCUGGACUUAACAUUUUAUGUAAGUAGAAUAUGUUGACUAGUUCAUGGCCGGCCAAGCCCACGUGAGUCAAGUUGUGAUGGGUCGACCCGUUUGAUACCUUUAAAGCAACCUAAUCAUCUAGAAUCCAAAUAGUCAUGUAUUCUCCACAAACGAACGGGUUUUAUUUAGGUACACAAUCUUAUCCUAUGAAGGUUUUCAAUGUACCCGAUCUGAUCAGAUUAAAAACUUUACCCUUUUUGCCUUUUCACUUUAUAUAUGUAGAUAUCCCCCCUCCCUAUAUAUGGAAAACAUACGCUAAUUGCAAACCAUAGUCUCUCAUAAUUAAUAAGAGUUGCAACAGUGUAACUGUGCUAUGUAAGUUAAUAUCCGUGAUUAGGGGCGCAUUGCACAAAUUUUAUCCUUCACAAGUGCGUAGGCCAGCGUUUGCUACCAUACAUUUCAACCACUGAAACUCAUGUGUGUACAAAACUAGGGAAAUGGAUUCUCUCUGGAUCAUUUCCACCAAAUUCACCAAGUUAACAAAUUCGAACCCUUGAAAUUUGAUCCAAUGACUAAAGUUAUUAUAACUUUUAAAGGAAGCUCACGUUUUUAGUUGUUGGAUCAAAUUUUAAAGGUCUGGAUUCGUUGACCUGGUAAAUUUGAUGGAAAGAAUCCGAAAAUGAUUCCUUUUCCAAAACUAGGAGCCCAAGGAUUUGACUAGUCACCCUUUGGAGUUGGCCCAUUCAAAAGUGCAAAUCCCUGAUAGCAAUCCUCCACGCCAACUGGUAAACUUUUAGCUUCCACACCACACUUUACUUAAGCAAGUUAUUAUUUGCUUAAUCAUGCUAUCUUUAAGUCAUUGAUCAAACCGGAAUAUUUCCUAAGACGCUAUAAUUCUUUCGAGAUAUUUCGAGAUUUGGUACGAAAGCGAACCAGGGGAAUGAAAAGGGUACUUGCAAGCCCAAGUCUAGCUUGGCUUAAAAAUCCCCUAACAAUGACAAAAAUGACAAAAAUGACCUCAAUUUAAUAAACAAUGUGCCGAAGUAAUUUGACAAAAAAUCGAGGGUAUUUUUGUCAUUUACAGCUUAUUUAAUGGAGGUUAUUUCUGGAAUGACCAAAAUAAUUGACGGUGGACAAACUCAGAGACCAAUUUUAUCGAUUUUAAAUCUCAUAGACCAAGGUGAUGAGUUAUGCCAAUCUCAAGGACUAUUUUUUGCUAAAAAGCCAUGUAUUGCAGCCAGUAAAUGCAUCUUCAAGCUGGGAAACAUCGAACGAAAUCAAUCGUGUUUAAUUGCAAGAAAUUGGUGGUUCAAAAUUCAAUCUUUUAAGAGGUUUAAGAGAUUUUUAUAUGUCUUCAUGAAUUUACAAUUUUUUUUCUUUUAUCUGAUAAAUUUUUCUGUCAUGAUUUGUGCAGUGUAGUUUAUGACUUGGGUUAUGAAACACCAAUAAUGUUACAAAAAUUACACCUUAAGAUACCAAUAAUCCAACAUAGAUAUAAAAUUUAAAACCAAUAAUAUAAUUAGUCUCCCAACUUAAUUAUAUAUACAAAAUGUAACAUUGAAAUCGAAAAAGAAAUGAAACAAAGUUUAAUCAGGGAAACAUGACAAUGUGUUGUGUCCCCUCAUUGUGUAUUUUUAAUCAGAUCCCUAAGCUGUUGAAGAAGUUGAUCAGUUGAGCAAUGUUCUUCUUUUGCUUAAAACAGUACAAAUACACUUCAAAUCGAAAAAAUAGUGUACUUGUGAUGCCAAAAAAAUCUGAUCUUUUGAGAACUCGUUCUUAAUAUCUUAGCAGCGUAUUAUUGGUGUUUAUUUGUUUAAGUUCAAUAGCGUGUCAAACGUAUGUUCGUUUUGUCCCAUGAAUGCAGGCAAGGGACAUCAUGAACAUUACUUGCAUUACAAGUUCCGCUACUUAGGUUGUUGCAAGAGGCACGGAUCUCCUUCCCAACAAUUGCCGAUGUGAUUUUAAUCUGGUGCAGAUUAAUGUUGGCACAACCUGGAUUCUCCGAGCAAUCAAACUUGAUCGCUUCUUCGGUUGCAGAAGUUCCAUGAAAACCAUUGUAUGUCACAUCGCUCACACUCACUGUCGAAGUCAGCAAAUUUUUUCAAAAAUGAUGACUUCGUUAAUACAACUAAUUUUGGUGAUAUUGAUAAAGGUUAAUUUGGUCCACAACUUUUAUUUAAAUGUGUAACUUAAAUGUGCACUUUUGAUGUGCACCUGGACUUACCAUUUUAUGUAAGUAGAAUAUGUUGACUAGUUCAUGGCCGACCAAGCCCACGUGAGUCGGGUUGUGAUGGGUCGACCCGUUUGACACCUUUAAAGCAACCUAAUCAUCUAGAAUCCAAAUAGUCAUGUAUCCUCCACAAAUGAACGGGUUAUAUUUAGGUACACAAUCUUAUCUUAUGAAGGUUUUCAAUGUACCCGAUCUGAUCAGAUUAAAAACUUUACCUUUUUGCCUUUUCACUUUAUAUAUGUAGAUAUCCCCCCCCUCCCGAUAUAGGGAAAACAUACGCUAAUUGCAAACCAUAGUCUCUCAUAAUUAAAAAGAGUUGCAACAAUGUAACUGUGCUAUGUAAGUUAAUAUCCGUGAUUAGGGCGCAUUGCAUUUAUUUUAUCCUUCACAAGUGCGUAGGCCAGCGUUUGCUACCAGACAUUUCAACCACUGAAACUCCUGUGUGUACAAAACUAGGGAAAUGGAUUCUCUCUGGAUCAUUUCCACCAAAUUCACCAAGUUAACAAAUUCGAACCCUUGAAAUUUGAUCCAAUGACUAAAGUUAUUAUAACUUUUAAAGAAAACUCACGUUUUUAGUUGUUGGAUCAAAUUUUAAAGAUCUGAAUUCGUUGACCUGGUAAAUUUGAUGGAAAUAAUUUGAAAAUGAUUCCUUUUCCAAAACUAGGAGCCCAAGGAUUUGACUAGUCACCCUUUGGAGUUGGCCCAUUCAAAAGUGCAAAUCCCUAAUAGCAAUCCUCCACGCCAACACCAAGUCAGCCAAAGCCAGGCAGGCCAAACAAAAACAAACAAACAAAAGAGGCCAAUCCUACCACAUGUUCCGCGAUGCUUCCAAAGACAGAAACCCCAGUACCCCACACUUGUCCCUCAAACCUUUCUCCCACCCACCUUCCCAAUCCUCCUUUUUCUACAAAACAACUUGGAAAUCUGAUUUGAUUAAGAUCUCAACUUAAUUUAGAUUAAUAGGUGGUCAUAAGACCACCAAUUCUCAAUUAUGUUACUUGUUUUACUCAACUACGGAUCCAUCAAUUUAUUUGAAACUUUCUCUCUUGUCGUAUCACAUUCUAUUUUGCGAUAUUUGAGACGUCAUACUUAUGAUUGUAGGAUCAAAACAUCAUGUGCUUUUUAUGAAAAAAAUUUCCCUACAUCAGCACGCUAUUGUGUGAGAAAGUUAUAACGUUUAAUAACAACACAAUGACAUCUCAAGAAGUUCUAAAGAUGCAAAUGUGACAAUAUUCUAAACCCAUUGCAAUUAUUGUUCGAGAAAAUUAAAACAUGUGUCAAUGUGCGAAUGACUUGUCACAAUUCUACAAUCACAUCCACAUACUUCUCGGAAAAAAAAAAUUCUGAAGAUUCAAUUGUGACAAUAUUCCAAGUCAAUCAUAAAUCGUGCAAUAACACAACAAAUUGCAAAUAGAUCCAAUCCUCAUUUCCUCCAAAAUACAAUUACAAAGGGAUUAUGAGAAUCCAAACAAAGUCUUUAGUAGAAGAUUACAUACUUGUCCCAUGAAACCUCCUCCCCCAAUGUCAUAAAACCAUCUCCUAAUAGAGAUGGCCACUUCUAUGAAGGAAACCAAAACAAACUUCUAUCCACAUAUAGAGAGAGAGAGAGAGAUAGACUUUACGCCUCCCACUCUCUCUCCUCUUCCCUUUUAUUCCUCUUAAUUUACAUAUACAUCUUUUGAGUUUACACAAAAAGACUCACCAUAAAUUAAACAUAUUAAGAUCAACUCACUUGACUUGUAUAUACAAAAAUUACACUCUCCAUCUCAAAGACCCCCCAAAAAACAUUAAUCUUCUUCCUCCUCCUCUUGAUAUUUUUCCCAAAGCACAAAG